AACACUGUUAACCUGCGGUACCUGCGGAAGGAUCAUUAAUAAAAUUUAUAGUCGUAACAAACUAUAUUAAACCCUUUGUGAACCAAAAAACCUUUUCGCUUCGGUAGCAGGCUUGGGUGCGAAAGCUCCCCAAGCUGUCAGCCUGCCGGCAGCACCAAACCAAAACUUGUUAUAAAUUUUGUCUGAACAGAAUCAUUUUCGAAUGAAAAUUAAAACUUUUAACAACGGAUCUCAGAUCGG
rnacentral:misc_RNA from 1 species